CCCUUGGUAGCUCAGCUGGAAGAGCGCAAGACUGUAAUUGGAAAUUAUCUUGAGGCCAUCAGUUCGAUUCUGAUUCAAGGGA